UACAGAGGGUGCAAGCGUUAAUCGGAAUUACUGGGCGUAAAGGGUGCGUAGGCGGUUAAUUAAGUCAGAUGUGAAAUCCCCAGGCUUAACCUGGGAAUUGCGUUUGAAACUGAAUAACUAGAGUAUGGUAGAGGGAAGUGGAAUUUCCGGUGUAGCGGUGAAAUGCGUAGAUAUCGGAAGGAACAUCAGUGGCGAAGGCGACUUCCUGGACCAUUACUGACACUGAGGCACGAAAGCGUGGGGAGCGAACAGG
rnacentral:rRNA from 1 species